GUGGGGAAUAUUGGACAAUGGGCGAAAGCCUGAUCCAGCCAUGCCGCGUGUGUGAAGAAGGUCUUCGGAUUGUAAAGCACUUUAAGUUGGGAGGAAGGGCAGUAAGUUAAUACCUUGCUGUUUUGACGUUACCGACAGAAUAAGCACCGGCUAACUUCGUGCCAGCAGCCGCGGUAAUAUGAAGGGUGCAAGCGUUAAUCGGAAUUACUGGGCGUAAAGCGCGCGUAGGUGGUUUUGUAAGUUGGAGGUGAAAUCCCCGGGCUCAACCUGGGAACUGGCUCCAAAACUGGAUGACUAGAGUACGGUAGAGGGUAGUGGAAUUUCCUGUGUAGCGGUGAAAUGCGUAGAUAUAGGAAGGAACACCAGUGGCGAAGGCGACUACCUGGACUGAUACUGACACUGAGGUGCGAAAGCGUGGGAGCAAACAGGAUUAGAUACCCUGGUAGUCC
rnacentral:rRNA from 1 species